rnacentral:rRNA from 1 species
CCUACGGGGGGCAGCAGUGAGGAAUAUUGGUCAAUGGACGAGAGUCUGAACCAGCCAAGUAGCGUGAAGGAUGACUGCCCUAUGGGUUGUAAACUUCUUUUAAAUGGGAAUAAAAUGUUCCACGUGUGGCAUUUUGUAUGUACCAUAUGAAUAAGGAUCGGCUAACUCGGUGCCAGCAGCCGCGGUAAUACGGAGGAUCCGAGCGUUAUCCGGAUUUAUUGGGUUUAAAGGGAGCGUAGGUGGGUUGUUAAGUCAGUUGUGAAAGUUUGCGGCUCAACCGUAAAAUUGCAGUUGAUACUGGCAGUCGUGAGUACAGUAGAGGUGGGCGGAAUUCGUGGUGUAGCGGUGAAAUGCUGAGAUAUCACGAAGAACUCCGAUUGCGAAGGCAGCUUACUAAACUGCAACUGACAGUGAUGCUCGAAAGUGUGGGUAUCAAACAGGAUGAGAUACCCGGGUAGUC